ACAGUGCAAUCCGAUGCCAUGCCCCUGAGGAUCACUUAAAACUACUGGCUUGAAUCCUACCAUGCACAUUUUUUCUCCAGGAAGGAAAAAUAUAAUACCCUCAGUGAUUUACAAAGAGCUGUUGAAAAGCCUUUGCCAACCUCAGGAAAAGCUGGUUUUACUGGGUUUGGAUGGGAAGGGAAAACAACACCUGCUACAAGAUACAAGGAUGCGUUUCCAGUGAACAGGCUGUGAUUCAUUUGUUACUCGUUUUUACACAUACAUGUUGUUCACACCAACGUCAAUGUCCACUGAGGCAAAAAGGAAGAGUCUUUUCUGUUUGCAUGAUAAUCAAGAUCUCAAGAAAAACUUCCCCUAAAAAGGGCCCAGAAGAGAUCCCAUGAACUGAUUUCUUCCACCUAUGCUCAGAUAAAAGGAUUUAUUUCUUUGGACAACAAAUAAAAAUACUUUAAUGUUAAA